GACGAACGCUGGCGGCGUGCUUAACACAUGCAAGUCGAACGGAAAGGCCCUGCUUGCAGGGUACUCGAGUGGCGAACGGGUGAGUAACACGUGGGUGAUCUGCCCUGCACUUCGGGAUAAGCCUGGGAACUGGGUCUAAUACCGGAUAGGAGCCAUUUUUAGUGUGAUGGUUGGAAAGUUUUUUCGGUGUAGGAUGAGCUCGCGGCCUAUCAGCUUGUUGGUGGGGUAAUGGCCUACCAAGGCGGCGACGGGUAGCCGGCCUGAGAGGGUGGACGGCCACAUUGGGACUGAGAUACGGCCCAGACGCCUACGGGAGGCAGCAGUGGGGAAUAUUGCACAAUGGGCGCAAGCCUGAUGCAGCGACGCCGCGUGGGGGAUGACGGCCUUCGGGUUGUAAACUCCUUUCGCUAGGGACGAAGCUUUUUGUGACGGUACCUAGAUAAGAAGCACCGGCUAACUACGUG
rnacentral:rRNA from 1 species